rnacentral:pre_miRNA from 1 species
GAAAACUUAGAAACUACCGUUGGAUUUAGAAAUAGACACAUAAGAUUUGUCCACGUCACCGAGAGUAAAAAAUUUACUCAUGGUUGAAUCUGGGAGUAAAAUUUUACUUUGAGUGCAGUGGAUAAAUCUGAAGCGUUUAUUUUUAGAUCUAAUGUUAGUUUACAAGUUUUC